CCCCGGUGCCCCCGGUGCCCCCGCCCCGCCCCGGGAGGAAGAACCGAAGGAGCUCCGAGUGGACGAUUCAGCGGAAGCUGCGGGAGUUGUUUGCCAUCCCACGGUGCCUGGUCAGCGUGUUCAGCCUCUUCCUCGUGGAGCUGAUCCGCUUCCUCGGCGAGGCCGUGGUCCAGGCGCUGGUGGUCGGUGUCCUGACAGCCGUCGGCGACCACGUCCUGAAGCCCUUGCUGGCGGCAGCGUUUCACAGCCUGCUGCAGCCGCUCCUGCUCUUCCUGCUGAAGGUGCUGGGCGGCGUGCGGGACCUGACGGAGCCCGUGCUGGACGUGGUGGCCCGGGUGUGCUCCCAGCUGGCCGUGCUGCUCCGCGCCGUGCGGCUGGUGGAGAUCCGCCUGCGCCCGGACCCGCGCGCCGCCGACGGAUGAGGACGGGCUGCGGGGGGCCAGAUAAGAUAAGGAAAGUGAAUUCCUGGGAAUUGCGGAAGAGUGGGGCCUGCUGAGGCCCAGGAGGCUCCGGAGGGACCGCUGUCUCCACGUGUGUCCAGGGAGCAGGGAGCGGCACAAGGUGUGCUGGGAGGGGGCUUGGGUCUUCUAGUUUUGCAAAUAUCGCUUUAACUUAAUUAAAUUCCAAUUUUAUCCAUUG